GCCAGACUCCUACGGGAGGCAGCAGUGGGGAAUAUUGCACAAUGGGGGAAACCCUGAUGCAGCGACGCCGCGUGAGUGAAGAAGUCUUUCGGUAUGUAAAGCUCUAUCAGCAGGGAAGAAAAUGACGGUACCUGACCAAGAAGCCCCGGCUAACUACGUGCCAGCAGCCGCGGUAAUACGUAGGGGGCAAGCGUUAUCCGGAUUUACUGGGUGUAAAGGGAGCGUAGACGGCGAUGCAAGUCAGAAGUGAAAGCCCGGGGCUCAACUCCGGGACUGCUUUUGAAGCUGUGUAACUGGAGUGCAGGAGAGGUAAGCGGAAUUCCUGGUGUAGCGGUGAAAUGCGUAGAUAUCAGGAGGAACACCAGUGGCGAAGGCGGCUUACUGGACUGUAACUGACGUUGAGGCUCGAAAGCGUGGGGAGCAAACAGGAUUAGAUACCCCGGUA
rnacentral:rRNA from 1 species